rnacentral:misc_RNA from 1 species
GAUGAAGAACGCAGCGAAAUGCGAUACGUAAUGUGAAUUGCAGAAUUCAGUGAAUCAUCGAAUCUUUGAACGCAUAUUGCGCUCUCUGGUAUUCCGGAGAGCAUGCUUGUUUGAGUAUCAGUAAACACCUCAACUUCCAUAUCUUUUUUGAAAUGGGAGUUGGACUUGAGUGAUCCCAACGCUUUUCCUCACCGAAAAGUGGCGGGUUACUUGAAAUGCAGGUGCAGCUGGACUUUUCUCUGAGCUAUAAGCAUAUCUAUUUAGUCUGCCUAAAAAACAGAUUAUUACCUUUGCAGCAGCUAACAUAAAGGAGAUUAGUUCUUGUGCUGACUGAUGCAGGAUUCACAAAGACGGCUUCGGCCGACUUUGUAAACUCGAUCUCAAAUCAAGUAAGACUACCCGCUGAACUUAAGCAUAUCAAUAAGCGGAGGA